rnacentral:rRNA from 1 species
GUGCCAGCAGCCGCGGUAAGACGGAGGGGGCAAGCGUUGUCCGGACUCACUGGGCGUAAAGGGUGCGUAGGCGGUUUGGUGCGUCGGCGCUGAAAUCCGUGGGCUUAACCCACGGGCGCGUGCCGAUACGACUUGACUUGAGGCUCGGAGAGGGUGGGAGAACUCCUGGUGUAGUGGUGAAAUGCGUAGAGAUCAGGAAGAAUACCUGUGGCGCAAGCGCCCACCUGGCCGAGACCUGACGCUGAGGCACGAAAGCGUGGGGAGCGAACCGGAUUAGAUACCCCUGUAGUCC